rnacentral:rRNA from 1 species
AUGCUACACGAUUUGCAAAAAAAGGACAAACAGAAAAAAAUAGCUGCCACCAAACAAACAGAGACAGCCCUAGUUCUUGCAACACCUACCACAGUACUACCAGCUGCACGACGUUCUCGUGCGUCAACUGAGCUAGCAGCACGUUCCCAAGCCCCCUUGCCACCUGACACUACUUCCCAACCACUCUUGACACAAGACGAGUUGGCAAUAUCAUAUGAACCUUGUGAGCUUCAACAGCAAGAAGGUAGUUACUGGAGUCAAGUUACAGUUGCAUGCUUCUUUAUAUGUAGUCUCACAGUUUAA